rnacentral:lncRNA from 1 species
ACUUGUCCCUCUAAGAAGUUGGGGGAAGUUGACUGCUUGGGGGUCCUAUAACUAGUUAGCACGCCAGAGUCUCAUUCAUUAUCAGAAUUAACCAGACAAAUCACUCCACGAACUAAGGCCAUGCACCACCACCCAUGGAAUCGAGAAAGAGCUAUCAAUCUGUCAAUCCUGUCUGUGUCUGGGCCGGGUAAGGUUUCCCAUGUUGAGUCAAAUUAAGCUGCAGCCUCCACUCCUGGUGGUGCCCUUCUACCAAUUCCUUUAAGUUUCAGCUUUGCAACCAUACCACCCCCAGGAACCCAAAAACCCAAAGACUUUGUUUUCUCAGAAGUUGCCCAGUGGGUCAUGGAAAUAAUGCUGCCACAUUGCCAAUCGGCAUUGUUUAUGUUCCGAACUAUGACGGUAUCUGAUCAUCUUUGAACCUCCGACUUUCGUUCUUGGUUAAUGAAAACAUUCUUGGCAAAUGCUUCAGCUCUGGUCCGAACUGUGCCGGUCCAAGAAUUUCACCUCUAGCAGCACAAUACAAAUGCCUCUGGCCAUCCCUCUUAAUCAUGGCCUCAAUUCCGAAAACCAACAAAAGAGAGCCGCUGUCCUAUUCCAUCAUUCCUAGCUGUGGGAUCCAGGUGGCUCAGGUCUGCUUUGAACAUUCUAACUUUUUCAAUGUAAACACUUCGGGCCAUGGGACACUCAGCUAAGAGCAUCGAGAGGGC